UCUUUGCCCAGAGUAUGCCUGUUCGCGGGCUAGGUUGUGGCAUGCCACAACCUAGCCCGCGAACAGGCAUACUCUGGGAACGAG